CUUGGCUGUGAUGACCAACUUGCCCUAUCUGAGAGACCUCGAUUAUGAGACCUGUCCAAACCUCAAUUCUGAGCCAUG
ensembl:snoRNA